rnacentral:rRNA from 1 species
CGCGUAGGCGGAUGUUUAAGUCAGAGGUGAAAGCCCAGGGCUCAACCUUGGAACUGCCUUUGAUACUGGACAUCUUGAGUAUGGGAGAGGUGAGUGGAACUCCGAGUGUAGAGGUGAAAUUCGUAGAUAUUCGGAAGAACACCAGUGGCGAAGGCGACUCACUGGCCCAUUACUGACGCUGAGGCGCGAAAGCGUGGGGAGCAAACA